GCGACAUGUUUACGCUGGACAGACGGAUAGACGGAUAGAUAGACGGACGGACGGACAGAAUGACUGAUAGAUGGAGGAAGGGACGGAUGGAAGGAAGGACAGACGGACGGAUGAAUGUAUACAAUAAUACGUCCUGUCAAAAUUGUGACGGGCGUGUAAAACGCAAUGAAAUGAAAAAAAAACCUCUUAAUUAAAGGUCAAUAAGUUUUAUUAGGAUAUCGGCCAAGUCGAUUUAUUUGUAUAUCUUCUUGACUUCCUA
rnacentral:lncRNA from 1 species